GAUGAACGCUGGCGGCGUGCCUAAUACAUGCAAGUCGCGCGAACGGACGAGAAGCUUGCUUCUCUGAUGUUAGCGGCGGACGGGUGAGUAACACGUGGAUAACCUACCUAUAAGACUGGGAUAACUUCGGGAAACCGGAGCUAAUACCGGAUAAUAUUUUGAACCGCAUGGUUCAAAAGUAAAAGACGGUCUUGCUGUCACUUAUAGAUGGAUCCGCGCUGCAUUAGCUAGUUGGUAAGGUAACGGCUUACCAAGGCAACGAUGCAUAGCCGACCUGAGAGGGUGAUCGGCCACACUGGAACUGAGACACGGUCCAGACUCCUACGGGAGGCAGCAGUAGGGAAUCUUCCGCAAUGGGCGAAAGCCUGACGGAGCAACGCCGCGUGAGUGAUGAAGGUCUUCGGAUCGUAAAACUCUGUUAUUAGGGAAGAACAUAUGUGUAAGUAACUGUGCACAUCUUGACGGUACCUAAUCAGAAAGCCACGGCUAACUACGUG
rnacentral:rRNA from 1 species